rnacentral:lncRNA from 1 species
GCACGCCGCUUGGGGGCGGAAUUUGUCCGUGUCCUCGCGCCUUCUCCUGGUGGCGGGAAAAGUUGCUCGAGGUGGAAGGGAUGUGCGGAAUGGCUGCGACAGCGUUAGCUGCGCUUCACCUUUAGGUCCUCGUCGCCCCAGAAGGCACAGAAAGUAUAGUUUCUGAACUGAAUGAUGGCAGCAUUACAGACUCACAAAGAAUACGAAAAGGGAACAAAGAAAACCUUUGCUCCACCUACACAAAAAUUACAUAGCGAGAAACCUCAGCCCAGCUCAUGGAAGGAGGACGCCCCAGGGACCAGUUCUCCAGAGGCAGAGACCAAGCCAAGCCUGCUCAAAGCCAGCUUAAAGAAGGAGCAGAAACCAACCACAGAGCAUGGUCCAAACAGGGGCCAGGAGAGAAAGCUAAAGGCUCAGGACCAGCCAGCC